UGUCAUGGAGGCGCUCUCUUC
rnacentral:miRNA from 1 species